GACGAACGCUGGCGGCGUGCUUAACACAUGCAAGUCGAACGGAAAGGCCCUGCUUUUGUGGGGUGCUCGAGUGGCGAACGGGUGAGUAACAAGUGAGUAACCUGCCCUUGACUUUGGGAUAACUUCAGGAAACUGGGGCUAAUACCGGAUAGGAGCUCCUGCUGCAUGGUGGGGGUUGGAAAGUUUCGGCGGUUGGGGCUGGACUCGCGGCUUAUCAGCUUGUUGGUGGGGUAGUGGCUUACCAAGGCCUUGACGGGUAGCCGGCCUGUGCGGGUGACCGGCCACAUUGGGACUGAGAUACGGCCCAGACUCCUACGGGAGGCAGCAGUGGGGAAUAUUGCACAAUGGGCGGAAGCCUGAGGCAGCAACGCCGCGUGCGGGAUGACGGCCUUCGGGUUGUAAACCGCUUUCGCCUGUGACGAAGCGUGAGUGACGGUAAUGGGUAAAGAAGCACCGGCUAACUACGUG
rnacentral:rRNA from 1 species